rnacentral:rRNA from 1 species
CCUACGGGGGGCUGCAGUGGGGAAUAUUGGACAAUGGGGGGAACCCUGAUCCAGCCAUGCCGCGUGUGUGAAGAAGGCCCUCGGGUUGUAAAGCACUUUCAGUGAGGAAGAACGCCUGGUGGUUAAUACCCAUCAGGAAAGACAUCACUCACAGAAGAAGCACCGGCUAACUCCGUGCCAGCAGCCGCGGUAAUACGGAGGGUGCGAGCGUUAAUCGGAAUUACUGGGCGUAAAGCGCGCGAAGGUGGCUUGAUAAGCCGGUUGUGAAAGCCCCGGGCUCAACCUGGGAACGGCAUCCGGAACUGUCAAGCUAGAGUGCAGGAGAGGAAGGUAGAAUUCCCGGUGUAGCGGUGAAAUGCGUAGAGAUCGGGAGGAAUACCAGUGGCGAAGGCGGCCUUCUGGACUGACACUGACACUGAGGUGCGAAAGCGUGGGUAGCAAACAGGAUUAGAUACCCUAGUAGUC